rnacentral:rRNA from 1 species
UACGAAGGGGGCUAGCGUUGCUCGGAAUCACUGGGCGUAAAGGGCGCGUAGGCGGAUCUUUAAGUCGGGGGUGAAAGCCCAGGGCUCAACCCUGGAAUUGCCUUCGAUACUGAAGAUCUCGAGACCGGAAGAGGUAAGCGGAACUGCGAGUGUAGAGGUGAAAUUCGUAGAUAUUCGCAAGAACACCAGUGGCGAAGGCGGCUUACUGGUCCGGUACUGACGCUGAGGUGCGAAAGCGUGGGGAGCAAACAGG